AGCAGUAGCCACGGUAAUACGUAGGUCCCGAGCGUUGUCCGGAUUUAUUGGGCGUAAAGCGAGCGCAGGCGGUUAGAUAAGUCUGAAGUUAAAGGCUGUGGCUUAACCAUAGUACGCUUUGGAAACUGUUUAACUCGAGUGCAAGAGGGGAGAGUGGAAUUCCAUGUGUAGCGGUGAAAUGCGUAGAUAUAUGGAGGAACACCGGUGGCGAAAGCGGCUCUCUGGUCUGUAACUGACGCUGAUGUGCGAAAGCGUGGGGAUCAAACAGGAUUAGAUACCCCCGUAGUCCCUGUCUCUUAUACA
rnacentral:rRNA from 1 species